ACCGCCUCGCGCCGGCCGACGCGCCCGCCAUCACGUAGCAAGCUCAGGCCCCACUUCCCUCGGGUGAGCUUCCGGCGGGGGCGGGACCCACCGCGGAAGCGGAAGGAGGGGAGCACACCGGGGGUGCGGCGGAGCUGUCGAGCUGUGGGGCGGCUCGGGGCUCGGGAGCUGGAUGGAGCCCGAGCUGAAUGGGCAGGAGCGCCGGGGCUCCGCCGCGUCUGCGCCCGCGAGCGGGCCGUUGAGCUCGCCGGCCGAAGCUGGACAUCCGCGCCGCAUCAGCGCCGUGCAGCUGAGUCCUGAUGGGUCCAGUACUUUAUACAGUCCGGAAGCGGGCUCCCGUGGCCGGACUCCGACGGAGGCUUAGACCAGAGCGCCGGGACCCCGAGACGGGCGCUGUGAGGCAGGUGUUACAAUCGCCACUUAACGGACGGACAGACCGAAGUCCAGGGAAGGGAGGCAACUUGGCCUAGGGCCCCUGGCCAGUUCGGAGGCCGUGGCCGCGACAGCCUUCUCGGGCACCCGUCUCCAGGGCUCUGCAGGACGGGGAGGUGGCCGCUAAUGCCCAAGGACACGCCGGGAUAGAGCAGCCCCGAGCCCCGGCGGAGGAAACAAAUGUGGCGUUUUCAGCAGAGUGAUCUUACACUACUUAAAACUUUGUUUAAAAAAAUCAUGUACUCACUUUUUUGGGGGGUGGGUGGAGUUUAAAAUGACCUUCUACAGCGUUCUUAGCAAAUCAGAAAGUGACAACCCAUUGAUCCCCAGAAUUUUGGAGGCAAGUACCAGCUUAAACUUGUGUUCUCAAAGGCAGUCUUUACCCUGGGACUUAAUUGGAUUACUCACACACCUUGCAUGCCCAAGACAGGACGCCUGCACACGAGUGAAGUGAUUGGUGGCCCAGAGCCACCCAGCUUUCAGAUGGCAGGUCCGGAGUUAAACCUCUGCUCUUGUUCAAAGCUCCUUCCCUCAAUAGCCCUUUUCUUGGGGGUGUGGGGUGUCCCACACCAAGGCUGCUUCAGGAAUCCCUGCUGGUUCUGGAACUGGUUCAGAGUUGACCGAAUGCCCCUGGACUCCUUGGGUUGCCGUGUGUGUGGCAGCCCUAUUAAGGGGUAGCUACUACCUCAUCUGUAAAAUUAAAAUAGGUAUGUCCAAGAUGACCUCUUCUGGAGCAAAAAACCUGGAAAACCAAAGCCUUAACUUAAGGUUUCAGGGAUGAGGUGGAAGAAUAAAAGAUUGUCACCUCAUAGUCAAGGGAGAAAAGUUACCUUUCAAAAAAAAGUACUAGCCAGAUACCAAGAUAGCCCUGGACCUGCGUGGGGAGCUGGCAGCCUCAGGUCAAGGCCAAGGGGUGCAUUGCCAUACCUGGCUCUGAGCCAGGCUAUCAAAGAAUUAAAACAAGGUCAUUGAGACCUAGACCAUGAAAUCUGCAUGGAAGGGCAUCUCUCUGGCAGGUGAGGCUUGGGUGGAGACAGUAUAAUGUUUCCUGAUGUGGACCCUUGGUCUCUGUCUCCCACAGCUAAAAGGUGACCUCAGAGGUGGAGAGGUAACAUGGCCCUGAAUGAAAGGCAGGCGGAGGUCAGUUCCACGCACAAGGCUAACAGGCCGACUUGGCUGCUAUGCCCUGCCCGUGGGGCCCUAACCUUGGACACUGAGUCCAGUUCUUCUAGAUGAAUCCAGAAAAGGCUGAUUUGGCUGUUAAUGGAUCAAAUUAGAAAUGAUUCUCAGA